rnacentral:rRNA from 1 species
UACGUAGGGUGCGAGCGUUGUCCGGAAUUAUUGGGCGUAAAGGGCUCGUAGGCGGUUUGUCGCGUCGGGAGUGAAAACACACAGCUUAACUGUGUGCUUGCUUCCGAUACGGGCAGACUAGAGGUAUGCAGGGGAGAACGGAAUUCCUGGUGUAGCGGUGAAAUGCGCAGAUAUCAGGAGGAACACCGGUGGCGAAGGCGGUUCUCUGGGCAUUACCCGACGCUGAGGAGCGAAAGUGUGGGGAGCGAACAGG